UGGGCCUUGGACGGCGUAUAUGAUUUUGGACAAAUGAGACGUUAAACCAUUUGGAGACACAACAGCGGCGGAGGAGAUGUAGCCAUCCAUGGCGCACGAGCUCCAACGGCCCCCCGGUUUGGUGAGGGGCGCACCGGGGGCUGAGGAUGGGGAGGACGGCCGUGUGACGAUAUGCGAAGGAGAACAAAAAAACACCAGAGGACCCGUUAGAUAAAAAAAAAAAUAGAAAAAUGGACGUGGCCGGUGGGACGUCACGAUGCGCCGUCGCCACAAAGCUCAGUGCGCCGCUCAUGAACGCGCUCAUUUGGCUGCCAGCGUGCCGCACGUCCGGAGGCACCGCCGGCUACAGGGAGCUGAUCCGAGCCCGGUGCAACCCACCCUGCUGCAGCCGAGGAGGACACAAGUCAUGACACCCAAACGCAACAGAAACGAAGAUCGACACUUUCCUGCAACUUCCAGGUUUCUGAUCAGUCUGCAGUUUGGAUUCACCUGAUGUUUGGACUACGACCCUGAGUCCAAUGAAGCCCAUUCCUCACAGGACUGUACAUCACUGUUACCGGCUGUUGUUACAGCCAGAGGACGUCAGUGAAAUACACAGAUUCAAGCAGCAGCCAUCGCUCCAACAGCCAGACGGUGGACAGAGUCAAAACUGUCAGGGCUGCAGACUGAUAAUGGAUACAAACAGCAAAACAUCCUCGAGAGGACAAACAGUCGGUCGUCGAGAGACUGAAGCUGUGAGAGUGAAGGAAAGAAAGGUGGAUGGUGUGUGUGUGUGUGUGUGUGUGUGUGUGUGUGUGUGUGUUGUACAAUGUGUCCUAGAGAACUGCUCCGCACAGCUGUUCAGGAAACAUGUGCACUAAAUGUUCAUGUAGGUCAUUUACAUAAUUUCUCUCUCUCACACACACACAUACACCAGAACUGACAUUAAUCCACAUUUGCAGUUCAAAGUAAUUAAAGGAGAAAAAGAAAGGGUUAGUAAAAUAGAAGAUGUGGUGAUUUAAAUUUUUAGCAUAAUUACAUUUCCUUAGAGUAGAACAUUUUAAAUGUAUAUUUUUGCAUAUUGAUUUGUAAUUUCUUCUUAGACAUAUUUUGAGCCUGAUUUGUUUUUUAAAUAUUUUAACUAUUUAGUAAUGAAAGAUAAAAUGUAUUUGUCUCAUGUAAAAUGUAUGUCUCAAUCAAAUUGUUGACAAUCUGUGUGACUGGAUUACUUGAAACGAUGGAUAUAUUUUUUUUUUUGUGUGCAAUGACUUGAUGCAUCAAGUAUGAACCUUUUUUAGCAUUUGUUCAGAUUUAUUUUUGAAAAACAGAUACAUCUCAUUUUUAAGAUUUCAUCAUCAUGUGACGGUAUAUGAGUUAUUUUUUGUUUUGUUUUAAAGUGUUUUUUCAAUAUGCUAAUUAGGAUUAAUGCACUGGAGGUAAAUGCAGUUCUUAUGUGAUCGGAUAGUUCUUUGAUUAACUGGAUCACACUUAACUGAAUUAUUGUAUUUCAUGUACAAUAUAACCUUUGAGAUUUGAGUUAUAUUCAAAUUAAAGUGCAUCAUUUUAAUCAAGAGAGCAAACAUCACUGCAGAUGAAGAAACUUUAUCAAAUCCAUAACUGGUGUUUACAUUUUAUCUAUGCAAAAGAAAACUAUAGGUGAGUGUUGAGGUGUAAAUAGGAAAGUUUGCACUAUUUGUGUUUGCACAUAAGUGUUGUUGUUGUUGUUAGGUUUGCACAUUAACAGCUCAAUGUAUGGCCGUGGUCUGAGACAUUAUACUAAAGUGCACUAUGUGAGCACAGGUGCAAUGUGUGUGCUAUGCUGUUGGAAUAUGAAAAUGUGUGUGUGAGUAGAAACCUUGAACAUGAUCUCUGUUUGCAGAAAUGUAGUAAAUGCAUUGAUUUACUCAUUUGCUGCAUCAGUUCAGUCUCUGGGUUUGUUCCACAUUUUAUUUGUUAAAUCGGCUCCUCUGACGAUAUAACUCAACCCCACUCAUGCAUUUUUUAUCAAAUGUGGAGAACUUGUAAAUAUGUGCAAUAGAUUCCGUGCAGUUAUAUAGAGGGAAUGAUAUUGACAUUACUAUGCACCAUAUGAACUGUAUGAAGGAGUCGUACUCGCUUGAUUUGCACAAGUUACUGUGUCUGUACUAUGCAACUGUUUCUACAGCAGAUGAUAUAAUCAAUAAAGGUAUUGUUUACAAUGAGGCAA